rnacentral:rRNA from 1 species
AACGAACGCUGGCGGCAUGCCUAACACAUGCAAGUCGAACGACACCUUCGGGUCUAGUGGCGCACGGGUGCGUAACGCGUGGGAACCUGCCCUUAAGUUCGGAAUAACUCCCCGAAAGGGGUGCUAAUACCGGAUAAUUUCUUCGGACCAAAGAUUUAUCGCCUUUGGAUGGGCCCGCGUUGGAUUACCUAGUUGGUAUGGUAAAAGCCUACCAAGGCGACGAUCCAUAGCUGGUCUGAGAGGAUGAUCAGCCACACUGGGACUGAGACACGGCCCAGAAUCCUACGGGAGGCAGCAGUGGGGAAUAUUGGAAAACGGGCGAAAGCAUGAUCCAGUAAGGCCGCGUGAGUGAUGAAGGCGGUAGGGUUGUAAAGCUCUUUUAUCCGGGAUGAUAAUGACGGUACCGGGAGAAUAAGCACCGGCUAACUCCGUG